UCUAUUCCUGGUGGUUCAUCUGUCAAUGAAUUCAUUUGUUCAGUCAGCUGGUCCUCAAACAUUUGAGUGAUUCAGAUGUGAGAGGUGUUAUGCAGGGAGCUGAGAGGGAAGACAUGCCUCGAGGUGCUCAGUGUGUCCCAGGGGACCGCAUGCAAGUGAGUCAGCCCCUAUAGGACUGCACGCAGAAUCACAGGACGGAGGCUGACGCAAGGUGCUCUGGGAGCAGAGAUGGUGGCAGCCCAGGAGUUCCAGCAGGGUUUCAAGAGGAGGUGGUGCCUGAGAUGGAUCUUAAAGGAUAAGAGGACAGAAGAAGGCAACAGAUGAAUAACUGCAGUUUUUUACAUUUGGGCUAACAUGACCCUCCACUGGCUUAAAAUAGAAAGCUGCCAUCUCUUCCAGGCUGGUCCAGUUCAGUAGAAUUAUUUUCCCUGGGUAACAGAAACAAUGGAAAGCUGGAUCAUAUAAACAAAAUAACUGAUUGGAAGGCUGGAGGAAGUGCCAAAUUCAACUUUCUGUGGCUUCGGCUUAUCUUACAGAGACCUCCUGUCUAUGUGUUAUGUUUGCAGAGAAUAACCAAAUUUCAUCUGACAGCCUGAUGGUGAUUCCUAGUUGAUAAAAGACUGCUCCAAGUACCCCCCGCCCCCACCGCCCCAAAUCUUCAAAUCAAUUUGCAAAAGUUUACAAUAAACUAUCACUAUGUCAAAAAUGAA